rnacentral:tRNA from 1 species
GGAGAGGUGCCAGAGCGGCCGAAUGGGACGCCCUGCUAAGGCGUUGACCGCCGUGAGGUGGUCCGUGGGUUCAAAUCCCACCCUCUCCG